UCUUUAAAUUUGCAAAUUUAUUUUCAAAGACGACAGCUUACGACAUCUUCGCGUGUAAAAUAUUCCACGAUCUACAAAUAUUUUAAAAGACAACAAUUAUUAUUUCAUACAUCGAUCAUCCGAUAUUUUGCAAUACCAAUAGUAAAAUGCCUUCUUUCAAUAUCACGCCAUUCGUUAAGAAGUAUACAAUAACAAAAUUAUCUCUGACAGAAAUCAACUCUCUCUACGCGAAACUGUUUCCCAACCGUUCCAAGAAUUGCGAAAUAACAAUAAAUUAUGGAUUUGUCCAUUUAUAUCCACAGAAUCAGAUCGAAGCAGAUCGAAGAGAGUCACGACCAGUUUCGAGGCGGAUAUUGUUUCGAGUAAUUCAAGCGUGUACACACCACGACUCGAGAACGAACGUGUCCUCCCGUGUUCGAUUCGUGAGAUAAAUCCAGAUAUCGAGCUCAUCUCCGUGGGAUAAGUGCUCCCUCGACGAGUUUCGCUACCUUGACUUUAUGAACCAAUAAAACCCGUCCUGCCAUUCCGUAAAGUAAAUUCGGUAAGUCAAGUUUCUCGUCUCGAUCUCUCCUUCGAAUCAUCCUUCGAAAUGAUUCUGAACGAACGGUAUAAGGAACGGACAGUAUAUCUUUAUUUUUAUAUUACGUUUGAUUCUGGUUCGAAGUGUACUUCUUUUUCGAAAAAUGGAAAGAACUGUCCUGGAAAUUUGUUCGUUCGUUUCUUGAUCUCUAUUUGAAAGUUUUGAAAGUUCGGAUGAGAGAAGUGUAAGUAAACGUAAGUAAACGAAAUUGGAUGAAGUCGAACGAAAGUGAAGUUAACUUUUUAUUUAGCUAUUUUAUAAAUUGUCGUUCUUUCUAUCGCUCUAUCAACAACUCUAGAGUUUGACAAACGUAUGCAACAAAGAAUCAAACAAUCAAGAAAUAUACGAAAAGUCACGGUUGCGAAUUCUUUCGAACUUUCAUUUUUAGAAUAUCAAAAAAAAAAGAAAAUUGAUUGACGGCACAGACAAUUUCACGAUAUCGCGACAAAUAAUACAUUACGAUAUUCGAUAAGUUUGACAAGCUGUCUAUUUGCAAAUCGUUAAAGAGAAAUAUUCGACGAUUCGUACACGCAGCAAAAACGUGAAAAAGGGAAAAAAAAUAUCGGUAAGAAGAUCUCGACCGAAUUAAGAGAAGGUGUAAAAAUAGAACGAAUCCAUCCCUUAAGAUCGAAAGAAGGGGACAACAAGGGGAGAGAAGCGAAAAAAGAGAAGAAAAGAAAAGAAAAAAAAAAAAGGAGUCAACGACUCGUGGACGGUGCAUCGUAUCGAUUGCAAAUAUUUAAAGUACGAGGUCAGAGACAAGAGAGUGCUCGAGCAUUCUCUGUCUCGGAGAAUAAGUAAAUAAUGAAGGAGCGGAUGAGGGUGAAGCAGUAUGUGUACGCCACGCGUCGCAUGGGAUUCGUCAAAUCGCUUUAGCACUGGUGGCAUAGCUGUGAAACGGGGUUGUUGCCUUCCUACAGGCCUUUAUUUUCGCUGCUAACACCCUCCCAAACGCUCGAUAUUCAAAUUUCCACGCUAUCCACUCGAGGAUCAACUACGGAGGACACACUUGAUCGAGGCUCGUGAAACGGAAGAAGGAUCUGCGUAAUGGAAUUUGCCAAUUUGCUCAACGACUGUUCUCGACUGUGAUCGAGUCGUGUCCAAUCGUGGCAAUUUUACGCACGGAAUUCGGUUAGUGUGCGCCACCGUUCCGACAGAAUGCCCCGCUUCGCAGACACGUCCACCAUUUUACCACCAUGAUUCCGUGAAGCUAAAUUAGACUGUCGAGAAUGGAGAGGAAAUCGAGAUUUUGAUGUAUUUGAUCUCUUUGUACAACGAGAGAUCGUGAUGUGAAAGAAACAGAUGGUAAGAGGAAGGCGACGUCAACAAGUGUCUUGGCACGUUUGAGCGGUUUUUCAAAGCGGCCCUUCUUCCUGGCGAAGCUCGUAAAGAUGCUCUAGCGGCCAGGAAAUUGUGCCGCGUGUCUGCCAAAAGUUUCAUUUCACGAGCUCGUCCUUCAAAUAAAUCACGGAAAGAUUUCUUGCUUUAUAGCACAGUCUUUGUUACUAUAGCUUGCUUCAUAAUCGCGCUAUAAAAGUGCAUAAAAAUGUUGGUUUUCCGCCAACGUAAAGAGGAAAAUAUAUCAAUCGACUUUCUUCAAACAGAAUAUAGAAAUAUUUAAAUGUUUAACAUCGGAAAUAUGGUUUGUAAUUAUAAAAUUUUUUAAUGUUAAUAACAUAAUGUAUAUAUUAUUAAAACUGUACAUACAAGAUAUACAAGGUAAAAUUCGAAAAGUUACGAAACGUU
rnacentral:lncRNA from 1 species